AUUUCUUCUGGUGAAAGAUCUAAAGAUUGAUAAAUACUAUUAUACCAAAAGUUAGGACCUCCUGCUUUCAUAGUAGGGUUUAACAUAGCAGCCACACAAAAAAUAGGAGGGAUUGGAAAAAAAUAUUUUUUAAAUAUCUUUUUCAUUUUAGUUAUUGCAAUUACAUAAAUUUCCCCUCCCUCGUCAAAAUCAACAAACAAAUUAGCAAGUGCGGCAAUAUAAACUAAACAGUUAGAAAUAGUUAGAUAAUAUUGGCCAGAUAAAGCAUUUGUAGCCACAUGAAAAUGUUCUAAAAAAUCUAAAAGAAUUUUAACGUUAGUCCAAUCUUGUAUAGUUAGCAUGUCAUUAUCUUCCUCCC
rnacentral:lncRNA from 1 species